rnacentral:lncRNA from 1 species
ACACAUACACACACACACAUGCAUUCAUACUCACUCACACUCACACUCACACUUACACUCACACUUACACUCACACUCACAUAUACGUACACACACACUCACACUCACACUGAUAUCGUACGUACAUGCACCCUUACGCAUUGAUAGUGCAUAUAACAUUUUUAUAUACACUGAUAUGUAUGACCAUAUAGAUACUUAUUAUCAGUUUAUACAGUUAUUAGUGUAUGUGUAUAUUGAAAUGUAUAUACAUACACUCAUAUGCAUAUGUAUAAAGGGUUAAUAUUUACAUUAAUGUAUUAGACCAUGUGUAUACUUAUUAUCCGUGAUAUAUACAGUUAUUAGCUCAAUUUGUAUAUGUAUUGAUGUAUAGCAAAACGUAUCAUUGUUUUCAGAGUAUAUAUAUAUAUACUGAUGUAUAUAACUAUAUAAUACAUUACUUAAUUGCUAUAUAUACAAUUUCUAGGGUGUAAAAAUACAUUGAUAUGUGUGUGUGUGUGAUGUCUAUAUAUAUACGAUGUGUAUAUACGGAUUUCUGUGUAUGUAUAAAGUGCAUAACUGUAUAUAUAGAAUGCAUUAGUAUAUACAUUUCUAUAUACAUUGAUGUAUAUGACCAUCUAUACACUUAUUAUUAGUUUGUAUCUUUAUUAACGUAUAUGUACGUUGAUUUAUAUAUUACACACACACACGCUCUCAUACUCACACUCACACUCACACUCACACUCACACUCACACUCAUACAUACACACACACACUCGCACUCACACACACUCGCACUUGCACUCGCACUCACACUCACACUCCUCGCACUCACACACACACUCAUGCUCACGCUCACACUCACACUCAUAUUCACGCUCACGCUCACACUCACACUCAUCAAACUCACCUCUAAUCUGAUAUGCCUCGGCGAAAUUCCAUAUUACUUUGUAUAGAAUUAAGCAUAAGAAUGGGUUUUUUCUCUUGAUGAAUUGGGUAUGCUAAAUACGCAAUUGUGAUAAUUCUUGUUAAUUUUUUAUCUUAUUUGUACUUGUUUUUAUUAUUAUUGAUGAGCUUCAUCUUCAUCGAGUUUUCUUGUAAAUUAACAAGCUUGGUGCAACUUAUCAUUAAGGCGGAUCUCCUUACGUUAUUCGAUAUUUGAUAUCUUCAUCUUGCUAGCUUGAUUUGCUUAAUGGUUCUUUCUUCUCUAGUAUAGUAUUACUGCUCUUACUUCUUUCAUGCAAAUAUGGUGUGAAUUUUUUGAUGGUUUACUUGUGGUUUGCAAUUUUAUUAUGUAACUUUUUCUUAACACACACACAUAUGCACACCAAACACACACACAUACUCACACUCACACUAAGGUAUAUGACCAUGUAUAUACUUAUUAUCAACGAUAUAUACCGUUAUUAGCUCAAUUUGCGUAUGUAUACUGAUGCAUAUAACCAUACAGUACAUUAGUUAUUCAAUAUAUAUACAGCUACUAAUGUGUAAAAAUACAUUGAUAUGUGCAUGUGUGUGUGUGACAUUUGUAUAUAUACGAUGUGUAUGUGCGGAUUUGUGUGUAUGUGUAAAGUGCAUAAUUGUUUAUAUACAGUGCAUUAAUAUAUACAUUUAUAUAUAUAUUGAUGUAUAUGAUCAUAUAUAAACUUAUUAUCAGUUUAUAUAUUUAUUAACGUAUAUGUACACUGAUUUAUAUACUACACACACGCACUCACACUCACAUUUACGCACACGCAUUCACACUCGCACACGUACUCACACUCACACGCACUCACAUAUACACACGCACUCACACACACACACUCACACUCGCACUCGCACUCGCACUCGCACUCACACUCACACUCACACUCAAACUCACACACACUCACACUCACACUCACAUAUAUAUAUAUACUAUCACCUCUAAUCUGAUAAGUCUAGGAAAAAUUCAUUAUUACUCUGUAUAGAAUUAGGCAUAAAAAUGGGUAUCUUCUCUUGAUGAAUUGGCUAUGCUAAAUACCCAAUUGUGAUAGACCAUUUAAAUUUUUUUCUUGUUUGUACUUGUUUUUAUUAAUAUUGAUGAGCUUCAUCUUCAUCGAGUUUUCUUUUAAAUCAACAAGCAAGAAAGCAACUUAACAUCAAGGUGGAUUUCUUUACGUUAUUUGAUAUUUGAGAUCUUGAUCUUGCAAGCUUGAUUUGCUUAAUGGUUCUUUCUUCUCAUGUAUAGUACUGCUCUUUCUUCUUUUAUGCAAAUACGGAGUGAAUUUUCUGGAGCUUUAGUUGUGGUUUGCAAUUUUAUUAAGUAACUUUUUCUUAACACACAAACUCUUGCUUCUUUCAUGUAAAUAUGGAGUGAAUUUUUUGGAGCUUUAGUUGCGGUUUGCAAUUUUAUUAAGUAACGUUUUCUUAACACAUACACACACCACACAUACACUCACACUCACACUCACACUCACACUCACUAAUGUAUAAGAAUGGGUUUGUAUGUACAUUACUGUAUAAGACUAAGUAUAUACCUAUUAUAAGUGAUAUAUGCAGUUAUUAGCUCAAUUUGUGUAUGUAUUGAUGUAUAGCAACGUAUAUCAGUGUUUUCAGAGUUUAUAUAUAUAUUGAUGCAUAUAACCAUACAAUAAAUUGUUAUCAACUAUAUAUACAGUUACUAGUGUGUAAAAAUUCAUUGAUAUGUGUGUGUGAUGUCUGUAUAUAUACGAUGUAUAUAUACGGAUUUGUGUGUAUGUAUAAAGUGUACAACUGUAUAUUUUCAGUGCAUUAUUAUAUGCAUUUCUAUAUACAUUGAUGUACAUGACUAUAUAUACACUUAUUAUUAGUUUAUACAUUUAUUAAUGUAUAUAUACACUGAUUUAUAUACUACAAACAUAUACACGCACUUACACUUGCACUCACACUCACACUCGCACACAUACAUACACAUUCACACUCACUCACACUCACACUGAUAUGCGCUUACACAUGCACCCUUAUGCAUUGAUAAUGCAUACAUAAAUUUCUAUAUACACUGACGUGUAUGACCAUAUAGACACUUAUUAUCAGUUUAUACAGUUAGUAGUGUAUAUGUAUAUUGAAAUGUAUAUACAUACACUAAUAUGCAUAUAUAUAAAGGGUUUAUAUAUACACUAAUGUAAUAAGACCAUGUAUAUACUUAUUAUCGAUGAUAUACACAUUUAUUAGCUCAAUUUGUAUACGUAUUGAUGUAUAGCAAUAUAUACCAUUGUUUUCAGUGUAUUUAUAUUUUCUGAUGCAUAUAACCAUACAAUACAUUAGUUAUCUGCUGUAUAUAUAAUUAUUAUGUGUGUGUGUGUGAUGUCUGUAUAUAUAUGUUGUGUAUAUACUGAUAUGUGUGUAUGUGUACAGUGCAUAACUGUAUACAUAUAGUGCAUUAGUAUAUUCAUUUCUAUUUACAUUGAUAUAUAUGACGAUAUAUAUACACUAUUUAUCAGUUUAUACAGUUAUUAGUAUAAAUGUACAUUGAUUUAUAUACUACACUCACACUCACACUCAUGCACAAUCAUAUUCCCACCCACACUCUCUCUCACACACACACUCAUACUCACACUCACACUCAUACUCACACUCAUACACACACACACUCAUACUCACACUAACACUCACACUCACACUAACACUUACUCACACAAUCACACUCACACAGACUGACACACUAACACAUUCACACACACACACACUCACACUCGUUGGCACACACACUCUCACAUACACUCACACACUCACACACACACACACACUCACACACUCUCACAUACACUCACACACUCACACACUCACACUCCCACUCCCAGCCACACUCACACUCACCCUCACCUAGACACACUCACAACUCACACUCACACUCACACAAACACUAACACUAACACUGACACUCACAAAUAUGUAUAUUAUACAUGCGUGGUGUGUAUGGACUGAUGUGUGUAUAUUUACGAUAUGUAUAUGCAUAUCUAUUUGCGUAUAUGUAUGCAGUUGCUUGCUAUCAGUUAUAUGCAAUUAUCGAUGUAUAUAUACACUAAUAAGCGCACGCACAUGUACCCUUACGCGUAGAUAAGUGCAUAUAUAGUGUGUAUGUAUACACUAAUACAUGUAUUCUAUUUUAUAAAAGAAGGAUCAUGCCUUAGAAGGAAGACACCUCGGGAUUUCCUUCUGAAUAUCAUAGGUAGGGUUUUAGUAUUCUGAGUGAUUGUUAUAAAUUUGAGUGAUUAUAAUUUCUGAGUGAUUGUUGUAAGCCUGAGUACUUACUAGGAGUACUUCAAGUUUGUUUUCUGCCUCUCACCCCUAUUUUGAGCUUUUUUUUUGUUUUCUGCCACUUACCUCUACUUCGAGCUUUCAUGUAAGUACCUAUCUCUGUUAUGGUUUUAUACUUCUGUUCAUGGUUAUUAUAUAUGAAUGUUACUCUUAUGAAUGUUGCUAUUUCUUUUUUAUGAAUAUUCUUAUGAAUGUUACUCUUUCUUAUUUAUGUUUAUGCUUCCGCUAUUUAUGGUAUCGGAGCCGAGUUUAUUCAGUAGAAAACUGAACUAAUUUGUACAUUUAUCUGGUUAACAUACCUAAAGUCGUUGUGACCCAAAAACCACCGCGAUCCUGGAAGGCCAUAAGGUGCAGGGACUAUUUCUGGUUGACUCAAGGAAAGAACACUAAGAUAAAAUGGCAAAUUUGUUUAGAACACUAUCGAAUAGAACAGCUUUUGGUAGUUUUAGUAAUAAUACUCUACGAGUAAAU